rnacentral:tRNA from 1 species
AUCCCGGUGGUCCGGCGGACCGGGGGUCUGGCCGACUCGGUGGCCGAGUUCAAGUCCGGCCGGGGUACC